rnacentral:tRNA from 1 species
GGCGGGGUAGCUCAGUGGCAGAGCAGCCGGCUCAUACCCGGUAUGCCGGGGGUUCAAGUCCCCCCCUCGCUACCA